UCUAUAGUGUAGUACAGCAUCCGUCUUAAAUCCUUGUCAGCCAAACGACCCCGCUUUCCCAUCUACUCUAUAUAUACGGCCACUUCCUUCCAACGCGUAUCACUUCAAUCCGCCCAUUCGGUUUCGGUUCGUGUUUCGACAGACUCGAUCCUAUGCGACAAGAGUUAAUAUACCAGGAAAAUUUUCAUUACUGUGAAUGGUUGACUGAAUCGGCUUUAGAGAUUAUUAACCGAGGUUAUUUGUGCGCACUAAAACUUGAAAAUAUGCUACUUCCCUACUUUCUGCUCUACAGGGAACUCAAUAAAUGUUCAGCCAGUUCAGUGUUAAUAAAAAAAAGUGUCAAACUUGAAAAUGCAAACUUCUAGCGCCAAGAACCUGUCAUUCCCUGGCUCAAAAGUUUAUUUUUUCUAUAAGGGCUGGUAUCGAUUUCAUGUUUCGUAGCUCUGUAAUGAACAGGUGGUCAAUUUAUGGAGUCUGUCUGAUCACAAGCAAUUAUGGUGCCAAAUGAACUGAAAAUAUGGCCUACCAACUUCACUAUAGCAUUCUGCGAACCCAUUAUCAAACAAAGUGGCUGGAGAACGAGCGAGCGGAUAUAUGUUGUAGGGAUCGGGAUUGCUUGUUAUUAUAAAACCACACGCGUCCGGAGAUGAAGGAUAAGAUUGAUAACCUGUGAAACCACAUCCAAAUAAAGCGUGCGGUUACUUUCAACCGGCACGCAGACAUUCAUUAAUGCUUUCCGUUAGACGCGCCUUUAUACUUUCCGGCCAGUCGGAGUAUGGGGUUGCACGGUACUCUACUAAUGUAACAAGUUACUCAAAAUCAAUCAGUAGAACAAGAAUGCAGUUGCACAUCAUUCUGAAAUUUGCCAUUCUUUUCACUCUGUUAACGAGCUCAUUUGCUGGUUCUAACACCAUGAGAUCUCCGGAAGAAAAUGUAGAUAAUUUACCAGUUAUAGCGAUCGGCGGCCCGAUCAAUUGUAAGAAUGGUCAACAAUUUAAUUCUAAACUGAAUCGUUGCAUGAAUGUUUGGCCCGGCUAAUCCGAAAUUUAAAAAAAAAGUCACAGUCGGAUUGGAAAGGAGUUUCGCCAUGGUUUAGAUUUACCCUUUAGUGUGGAUCGAAAUCUUUGCUCUGUUGAUUUUGUAUGGUCUAAUGGAUUCUUUGUGAACGCAAUAAAUACUUGACAUG